GCUUUAGCUCAGUUGGAAAAGCACGAGACUCUUAAACUCAGGGUCAUGGGUUUGAGCCCCACGUUGGGCA